UGGGGAAUUUUGGACAAUGGGCGAAAGCCUGAUCCAGCAAUGCCGCGUGUGUGAAGAAGGCCUUCGGGUUGUAAAGCACUUUUGUCCGGAAAGAAAUCCUUGGCUCUAAUACAGUCGGGGGAUGACGGUACCGGAAGAAUAAGCACCGGCUAACUACGUGCCAGCAGCCGCGGUAAUACGUAGGGUGCAAGCGUUAAUCGGAAUUACUGGGCGUAAAGCGUGCGCAGGCGGUUUGCUAAGACCGAUGUGAAAUCCCCGGGCUCAACCUGGGAACUGCAUUGGUGACUGGCAGGCUAGAGUAUGGCAGAGGGGGGUAGAAUUCCACGUGUAGCAGUGAAAUGCGUAGAGAUGUGGAGGAAUACCGAUGGCGAAGGCAGCCCCCUGGGCCAAUACUGACGCUCAUGCACGAAAGCGUGGGGAACAAACAGGAUUAGAUACCCCUGGGUAGUCCACGCCCCUAAAACGAUGUCAACUAGUUGUUGGGGGAUUCAUUUCCUUAGUAACGUAGCUAACGCGUGAAGUUGACCGCCUGGGGAGUACGGUCGCAAGAUUAAAACUCAAAGGAAUUGACGGGGUCAUA
rnacentral:rRNA from 1 species